UCCCUGGUAGCCGGUGGUUAAGGCCCUGUGCUCCCAAUGCAGGGGACACAGGUUUGAUCCCUGGUUGGGGAA
rnacentral:tRNA from 1 species